rnacentral:rRNA from 1 species
AGUCACUGACAUUAGAUACCCGCGUAGUCCAGGGUGUAAACGCUGCAGACUUGGUGUUGGAGGCCCUUUGGGGGCAUUCAGUGCCGGAGAGAAGUUGUUAAGUCUGCUACUUGGGGAGUACGUCCGCAAGGAUGAAACUUAAAGGAAUUGGCGGGGGAGCACCGCAACGGGAGGAGCGUGCGGUUUAAUUGGAUUCAACACCGUAAAACUCACCAGGGAAGACUGUUACAUGAAGGCCGAGAUGAAGACUCUGCUAGAUUUUUCAG